GAGGGUGUAGCUCAGUGGCAGAGUGCCUGCCUGGCGUGCACGAGGUCCUGGGUUCCAUCCCCAGUGUCUCCA
rnacentral:tRNA from 1 species